rnacentral:tRNA from 1 species
GGGCAGGGAGCUCGGCCUGUAAGAGCGCCACGUUGGCAUUGUGGAGUCCUACAGGUCCGAGUCCUCACUUGCCCA